CUCUGCUUGAGGCUGCGGCCGGGAGGCAGCCAAAUGGCGACGCGCGCCUCCACUCCGGUCCUCCGGGAACCUGCGCUGCGCACACACUGCAUGCCUCCAGGCGUCGCCGACUGAGUGCGGGGUCAACUAGCAAACAUUAGCGACGGCCAGGAGGGAGGAGGACGUUUGUAGCUCCAUUGGGCGUGCCGCCGUUGCCGGUGCCGGUGGUGACCGGCACUAGCUAGCUGGAGGCCGGAUGGGCGUUCGCGUCGUACGUGGGGGCCUGGCCGUUCAUCUGAGGUGCGCCGCGUGUCAGGCAGUCUGCAAUACGACCGGCUUACUGAUGCUAUGGAAUAAGCUAGACAAUUCGCAGAAUAAUUGAAUAGGAACCCACUUGUCACUGGCCUACUAAAACAAAAUUCCUCACAAGGAUUUCAUUAUCUUCGGCACGAGUGCUGUCAUAAUGAGGACAUCAAUUCAAGGGACGAGUAAAGCGACGGCGAUACCAUUGAGAUGAUGGAGUUGAUGAAUUUAGGCAUGUUUGUUGAGGUUUCAUUGAAGUGACAUAGUAGAAAGAACUGAAUACUGAACGACCUACAUCUUUAUUUGUGAGAAAUAAUUAAAUGUUUAGUUAGUGACUUUUCAGACGACUCAAAGUAAUGUUAGUGUUUUUUCAGACGACUCAAAGUAAUGUUAGUGUUUUUUCAGACGACUCAAAAUAUACUAUAUAUAGGGAUUAACGAAUAUUUGCCAAUGAACAUUCCGUUUUAGGGUA